AUGGGAAGUAUUGAUGAUGGAGUGAUGUUGUUGUGCAGAAACUGCGACGAUAAUGGUGAAGAUGAAGGCUGGGAAAUUCUUUCCUCUUCAUAUGUAUUUCUAUUUUCUGAUUUUAUAUUCUCCAGGCAACAGCUGGAUGCAAGAUCCGGUUUUUGUAAUGAGCAGUAUAAAGCAUGGCACUUAGUGAUGAGGAUGGACAUGGAGAUGGAUCCGUAUGGCAUGGAAUGA